GACUUGGUGGCGCAACGGUACCACGUCUGACUCCAGAUCAGAAGGUUGCGUGUUCGAAUCACGUCUGGGUCA
rnacentral:tRNA from 1 species